GAUGAACGCUGGCGGCGUGCCUAAUACAUGCAAGUCGAGCGAACGGACGAGAAGCUUGCUUUUCUGAUGUUAGCGGCGGACGGGUGAGUAACACGUGGAUAACCUACCUAUAAGACUGGGAUAACUUCGGGAAACCGGAGCUAAUACCGGAUAAUAUUUUGAACCGCAUGGUUCAAAAGUGAAAGACGGUCUUGCUGUCACUUAUAGAUGGAUCCGCGCUGCAUUAGCUAGUUGGUAAGGUAACAGCUUACCAAGGCAACGAUGCAUAGCCGACCUGAGAGGGUGAUCGGCCACACUGGAACUGAGACACGGUCCAGACUCCUACGGGAGGCAGCAGUAGGGAAUCUUCCGCAAUGGGCGAAAGCCUGACGGAGCAACGCCGCGUGAGUGAUGAAGGUCUUCGGAUCGUAAAACUCUGUUAUUGGGGAAGAACAUAUGUGUAAGUAACUGUGCACAUCUUGACGGUACCUAAUCAGAAAGCCACGGCUAACUACGUG
rnacentral:rRNA from 1 species